rnacentral:rRNA from 1 species
AACGAACGCUGGCGGCAGGCUUAACACAUGCAAGUCGAGCGCCCCGCAAGGGGAGCGGCAGACGGGUGAGUAACGCGUGGGAAUCUACCCAUCUCUACGGAAUAACGCAUGGAAACGUGUGCUAAUACCGUAUACGUCCUUCGGGAGAAAGAUUUAUCGGAGAUGGAUGAGCCCGCGUUGGAUUAGCUAGUUGGUGGGGUAAAGGCCUACCAAGGCGACGAUCCAUAGCUGGUCUGAGAGGAUGAUCAGCCACACUGGGACCGAGACACGGCCCAGACUCCUACGGGAGGCAGCAGUGGGGAAUAUUGGACAAUGGGCGCAAGCCUGAUCCAGCCAUGCCGCGUGAGUGAUGAAGGCCCUGGGGUUGUAAAGCUCUUUCACCGGUGAAGAUAAUGACGGUAACCGGAGAAGAAGCCCCGGCUAACUUCGUGCCAGCCGCCGCGGUAAGAC